CAUGGAUUGCUUUGGUCUGUGAGGAAAAAAAAAAAAAAAAACCUCGGCAGCUGUUCGUUGACGAUGCAGAUUCAUUGGGUUGAUUUCAUCUGCUUCAUGCUCCAAGUCUAAAUUUCAGGUGGAAAACACUUCAGCUCCUUGAAGUUUAAGAUUUAGUUGCUGCACAUUCAUGGAGUUUUCUGCAGCAGCACAAGGACGAAUUACUACCAGGCUUUAGCAGCUGACCACCCAUUUUGUCAAGGGUUCAUGCUUGUACCAUCUCAGAUUCCAGCUCAUCAUCCCACUCGCAUUCUGCUUUGUUUUUGUUCUGUACAUGCUUAUUUGUACCUUUUUCAGUGCCUCCCGCUGAUCCAAAUGAGGCAUCGCCUGUGUGCUGCUGAAAAAACUCCUCUGUCAUUUUGUUGGUCUGCUGGACUUGGCUUCUUUAACUCAUUUCAUUUUUCAAUCAACGGUCGCUAUGUUUUGGCUCAUGCAUUA